rnacentral:tRNA from 1 species
GAGAGAGACUUGCAGUAACAAAAACUGCUACUUUUUGUACCUUUGGUUGGAUUCCAAAGCUCACUCG